AGAAUCAACGCUGGCGGCGUGCCUAACACAUGCAAGUCGAACGAGAAAGUGGAGCAAUCCAUGAGUAAAGUGGCGCACGGGUGAGUAACACGUGACUAACCUACCCUUGAGUGGGGGAUAACCUAGGGAAACCUGGGCUAAUACCGCAUAAUACCGAGAGGUCAAAGGAGCAAUUCGCUUUAGGAGGGGGUCGCGGCCGAUUAGUUAGUUGGCGGGGUAAUGGCCCACCAAGACUAUGAUCGGUAUCCGGCCUGAGAGGGCGCACGGACACACUGGAACUGAAACACGGUCCAGACUCCUACGGGAGGCAGCAGUGGGGAAUUUGCGCAAUGGGGGAAACCCUGACGCAGCAACGCCGCGUGGAGGAUGAAGUCCCUUGGGACGUAAACUCCUUUCGAUCGGGACGAUUAUGACGGUACCGAGAGAAGAAGCCCCGGCUAACUUCGUGCCAGCAGCCGC
rnacentral:rRNA from 1 species